rnacentral:rRNA from 1 species
GUGCACGCUGGCGGUAGGCCUCACCCAUGCCAGUCGCACGGCAGCACAGUAAGAGCUUGCUCUUACGGGUGGCGAGUGGCGGACGGGUGAGGAAUACAUCGGAAUCUACUUUUUCGUGGGGGAUAACGUAGGGAAACUUACGCUAAUACCGCAUACGACCUACGGGUGAAAGCAGGGGAUCUUCGGACCUUGCGCGAUUGAAUGAGCCGAUGUCGGAUUAGCUAGUUGGCGGGGUAAAGGCCCACCAAGGCGACGAUCCGUAGCUGGUCUGAGAGGAUGAUCAGCCACACUGGAACUGAGACACGGUCCAGACUCCUAAGGGAGGCAGCAGUGGGGAAUAUUGGACAAUGGGCGCAAGCCUGAUCCAGCCAUACCGCGUGGGUGAAGAAGGCCUUCGGGUUGUAAAGCCCUUUUGUUGGGAAAGAAAAGCAGCAGGUUAAUACCCCGCUGUUCUGACGGUACCCAAAGAAUAAGCACCGGCUAACUUCGUG